CAGUAGCCACGGUAAUACGAAGGUCCCGAGCGUUGUUCGGAAUCACUGGGCGUAAAGGGAGCGUAGGCGGCGUGGUAAGUCAGAUGUGAAAUCCCGGGGCUCAACCCCGGAACUGCAUCCGAUACUGCCGUGCUAGAGGAUUGGAGAGGUAGCUGGAAUUCUUGGUGUAGCAGUGAAAUGCGUAGAGAUGUGGAGGAACACCAGUGGCGAAGGCGACUCUCUGGUCUGUAGCUGACGCUGAGGAGCGAAAGCGUGGGGAGCGAACAGGAUUAGAUACCCGCGUAGUCCCUGUCUCUUAUAC
rnacentral:rRNA from 1 species